UACGGGGGGAGCAAGCGUUGUUCGGAUUUACUGGGCGUAAAGGGCGUGUAGGCGGCCACCGCAAGUCAAUUGUGAAAUCUCCGGGCUUAACUCGGAAAGGUCAACUGAUACUGCGGGGCUAGAGUGCGGAAGGGGCAACUGGAAUUCUCGGUGUAGCGGUGAAAUGCGUAGAUAUCAGGAGGAACACCAAUGGCGAAGGCAGCUCGCUGGGACGGUAUUGACGCUGAGACGCGAAAGCGUGGGGAGCAAACAGG
rnacentral:rRNA from 1 species